UAAGUAAAGUGGUAGAAACAGUAAGGGU
rnacentral:piRNA from 1 species